UCACUAGGACUAGCGGUUAGGCCACGGUGCUCUCACCGCCGCGGCCUGGGUUUGAUUCCCGGCCAGGGAA